UCAUCCAGAGAGAUUUGACUGGUGGCUCCAAGUUCUGUGCAGAGAGAGUCUGACUGGCCGCUGUUACUGGGAGGCUGAGUGGAGUGGAAAAGGAGCCCUGAUAGGAGUGACUUAUAAAGGAAUCUGGAGGAAAGGAAACAUUACUGACUGUGGGCUUGGAGCCAAUGACAAGUCAUGGAGUCUGUUCUGCUCUCCUCACAGUUACUCUGUCCGGCACAAUAAUAAACAGGCUGACAUACCCAUAAAGCCCUCAGGUCUCCGCAGAGUAGGAGUGUAUCUAGACUGGGCGGCUGGUACUCUGUCCUUCUACAGAGUCUCCUCUGGUGGACUGACCCUCCUGUACAGCUUCACCUCCUCAUUCACUGAACCCCUCUAUCCAGGGUUUACGAUGAAUACAAACUCCUCCGUGUCCCUGUGCAUGCUGGGAUAGCUCACUAUGUGCUGGAGGAAUCAUUUUUACCUUAUCAGAAUGUCACAUGUCUCUGCUUCUCCAUGGCAAAAAGGUAAAAUCUCUGCUUUUUAACCAGUAUGACCCUUUUUACUCUGUCUGAAGUGUGACGUAUGUUAGACAAAAUUGAAUGUUUGUUCAGCUUGCCAAACCCAUGCAGAAUAUGACUGUUUUUCUCUGACUUCUGUUCUAUGUUGUCUGUAAAUGCACAAAAACUGCCAAAACAAAAUCAUAGUACAUGCAGCUGUACCAAUAAAGUGAAUUCUGAUUAUGAAUAAAAUAAAAUGUAAUGAAAUGUAAUCCUGAUGAGUAUAGGGGGGGCUUUUCCCCUCCCCUCUUUAUGUACAUUUUAUAUAUUUCUGUCUGUAUAUUGUAUUUGCUACCUGUACACUGACAAUAGAGGUUUCCUGUUCUAUCCUAUUAAUGUCCCGAUUCAGCGCUGCCCGAAGCGUAACCGAGUAACGCACUUAAUCCGCGCUCUCUGGUGACUGAGCGCAGCUUCCUGAUAUCGCAGCGGCGAUGCUUUGGCCAGCAGGGGGCGGCAAACGGCAGACAUUUUAUUAGCUCAAAACCUACAGCGGUCCUGAGAUGUGAUGCACCUGUUCCCCUGGGGGUGGGUGUAUAAGGUGGGUUCCCGGCUAAGGGGAGAGGAAUCGAUCCUGUGGCAGCCACCACGCCGGCUUCGGCUCUGCAUCAGUGUUUCAUUGUCCUUUUCUGUUAUGUUCUCUCCUGUUUGUGCUCUUUGUUAAUAAAUGACCCCUGACAAUCGA